rnacentral:rRNA from 1 species
GACGAACGCUGGCGGCGUGCCUAAUACAUGCAAGUUGAGCGCUGAAGGUUGGUACUUGUACCGACUGGAUGAGCAGCGAACGGGUGAGUAACGCGUGGGGAAUCUGCCUUUGAGCGGGGGACAACAUUUGGAAACGAAUGCUAAUACCGCAUAAAAACUUUAAACACAAGUUUUAAGUUUGAAAGAUGCAAUUGCAUCACUCAAAGAUGAUCCCGCGUUGUAUCAGCUAGUUGGUGAGGUAAAGGCUCACCAAGGCGAUGAUACAUAGCCGACCUGGGAGGGGGACCGGCACAAUUGGAACUGGGAAACGCCCCAAACUCUACCGGAAGGCGCCGGAGGGGAAUUUUGGCCAAUGAACGAAGUCUGACCGAGCAACGCCGCGUGAGUGAAGAAGGUUUUCGGAUCGUAAAACUCUGUUGGUAGAGAAGAACGUUGGUGAGAGUGGAAAGCUCAUCAAGUGACGGUAACUACCCAGAAAGGGACGGCUAACUACGUG